rnacentral:rRNA from 1 species
UCGGGUGCCCAGUCCUCCUGAAUGGGGCCUCUCCCAGAGUGGGUGUCAGGCCUUUACUGGCACUCGACGCUGUGGUUCUGAACGUCCUUGGAGUCGGGUUGUUUGAGAAUGCAGCCCAAGUGGGUGGUAAACUCCAUCUAAGGCUAAAUACCGACACGAGUCCGAUAGCGGACAAGUACCGUGAGGGAAGUUGAAAGAACUUUGAAGAGAGAGUUCAAGAGACGUGAACUGCUUAGAGGUAACGGGUGGAUCCGCAAGUCGACCCGGGGAAUUCAACUUGCCGUUCUCAGAUGGCGACGUUGGGAUAGGGAUCUGUAAAGACCCGCCUGGCGUUCGGCUGUCUUCGGCGAGUGCACUUUCCUCGGGUAGAGUGCCACGACCGGUUUCUGGGCGGUCACAAGCCAGUCGGGAAGGUGACUUCCUCCUCGGAGGAAGUGUUAUAGCCCGGCCAGGUCGACUCGUUCUGAGACCGAGGAUUUGCCGCGUCUCACCUGCUCUCGGCCCUCUGCUCUGCGUUCGACUGGGGAAGCACUGCGUGCAGUUCUCUCCGACCGCGUGGGUGGAUUGGCUGGGAAGCACGAGGCGCUGCGGGUCAGUGGCGAAUCGGUCGGUCCUCCACCCGACCCGUCUUGAAACACGGACCAAGGAGUCUAACAUGUGCGCGAGUCAUGGGGUUCUGUACGAAACCUAAAGGCGCAAUGAAAGUGAAGGUCAACCUCCGGUCGGCCUAGGUAGGAUCCCCGUCGAGGGGCGCACUACCGGCCCGUCUCGACCACGUCGUUGGUGGGGCGGAGCAAGAGCGUACACGUUGGGACCCGAAAGAUGG